CUCUCCUCCCUCUUCCUCUCCUCCUCCUUCUCCCCCUCUCCCUCCCCUUCUCCUUCCUCUCUCUCUCCUCCCUCUCCCUCUCCUGGCUUGACACAUGAAACAUACGAAUAUGUAUUUGAUUUUACAUAUUGUCCAUCUACCCUUGACUUGCCUUACUUCUUGGUAAACCUGUCUAUUAUCAUGAUUUUAUUUCAAGAACUCGACAUUUGAAAGUAACAGUAGAUCGCAUAACAGAGCUAAUAAACAUAUCGAUAGUGAUCAUUUUCUUCUCUCUCUCCUUGAUUUCGCCUUUCUUCUCGCAUACAUCUGUGUAUACCUGCGCUGGAAUGUAUAAAUGUAAACAAAGCUUCUGAAAACAGCUGAUGGUAUCACAUAGUUCUCGCGGUGACUGUUCCUGAAGUAAUGCCAUAUUUGGCUCUAGAAUAAGUUUGAUGACCUAAUCAUUACCCUGUAUAAGUGGCAGUCCGCGCCUGGCGUCCACACAGUAAGCUACUGUUCACGCUGUUUCACGUGUGUGGUUCCGCCAGCCUUCCGCAAUGGGAAAGGGAUUGUUGCAAGAAGUGGUGAGGGCAUAAGUGAUUAUGUUUAUAAGUGAUGUGUAAUUGUGCGUGAUGAUAGGCAAUAUUUUUUCGAUAAUUGAAGAAAAGACUAAUUUACGGAGUGUAUUUGGUGUCUGUUAAACGCAUCGUCGUCGAUGGGUGCCCUGUCAGAUUCUGACAUUGGCUGUCACAGUAUGGUGUCUCUCACGAUGGUCCGUCAGUUGAAUCAUCUCAACAGGUCGCAAAUUCACGCUGUCUGCCAGUGACUUGGUGCAGAGCAGCCGUUGUCGCCCCUUUGUUUUGGUACCCUCAACUCUUCCAGUGCGUUAGACAAGGUUGUGUACUAUCAUCGGAACUUUUCUCAUUGUGCGCUGAGUCGAUAAUGAAUAACAUUGCACACAUGGACGGUAUUAAAAUAGGAGGAGUCAAUAUAAAUAAUUUAAGAUAUGCAGACGACACUGCCAUCAUUGCUGAGACUGAAGAUCAACUCAAGAAGAUCAUGGAUAUAGUUACAAGAGAGAGUAAAAAAGCUGUUCAUGAAAUCAACCAGAAGAAAUCUUUCACCCAAGUAAUCUGCAAGAAAAAAUUAAUCCCAAAAUGCUCAAUAAACGUGGAUGGAAAGAACCUAAAGCAGGUAGACAACUCCAUCCAUCAAAUCAGAAAAGGAAAUCCCCAGAAGAAUUGGGAUUGCGAAAACAGCCUUCAAAUCAAUGGCAAACAUCCUAACCUCUAAAGUCAUCAAUUUACAAACAAAAAUCAGAUCUCUGAAAUGCCUGGAGCACACUCCUCACCCAAGUGUUUCGUUGGACAAUCAGCAAAGCAACGGAGAAAAGAUUAGUCGCUGCAGAAAUGUGGUUUCUGAGAUGGAUGCUAAGGAUACAUGGCUGAAAAAGGUUAGCAAUGAAGAGGUCUUAAGAAAAAGUGAUCCACGAGCGACAAUUUUUUUUUUUUUUUUUUUUUUUUUUUUUGACAUGUUAUGAGGAAGAAAGCAUUAGAGUAUCAGGCCAUCACUGGAAGAGUUGAGGGUGGCAAAGCAAGGGGUCGACAACGGCUGCUCAACACCAAGUCACUGGCAGACAGGGUGAAUUUGCGACCUGUUGAGAUGAUACAACUGACAGACCAUCGUGAAAGAUACCAUACUGUGACAGCCAAUGUCAGAAUCUGACACGGCACCCAUCGACGACGACGAAACGUCCUUGAACCUUCUCAGUCACAGGGCCUAUCAUUCUGUCGUGCAUUGUACAUUACUUUCGCUUGCACUGUUUUUGCUUAAUUUGUUUUCUUUGAUUACUAUUCUUCAUUCAUUAAAGAUGUCGAAUACUGAAUCAUACAUAAAUUGUGCACAUAGUGAUUUUACUUUUUAUUGUUUUUCUAAGCAUAUAUAUUUUUUCUUUAUAGCUAGCACAUGACCGCGAUCGGAAGCGAGAAACAGAGAAGGAGACGAAGGUGAAGAAGAAUAUGCUUGAUCUGCAGAAACAAGCCAAGAGACAGGAAAGGGAGGCAAUGCAAGCUGCACAGGAGGCAGUUGGGCGAAGGCGGCGCAGGAGGCGCAGGCUGAGAUGCAGGCACGAACAAGUAGAUUACUCGACGACUCUGCCGUGUCCGGGGAAAAGGCGCUCCACCUGCCUCGCCCCGCAGACAUCAGGCAGGGCAGAGUCGUGCGCUCGACCAACCCGCGCGAGAGAGACGACUGCAGCCGCUCCAGGUCCUCGGCAGUACCUGGUGAGACCCCCAUUGCUCCAGGAGGAGGAGGAAGAGGAGUAGGAGGAAGAGGAGGAGGAGGAAGAGGAGGAGGAGGAAGAGGAGGAGGAUGGAGAGAAGAAGAAGGAGAAGAAGAAUCAGCCUGUCCAUUGCCGCCUUUUAUGCCACUUUGCUCUCUAUUUUUGUUUUUUACUAAUUCUGUUGUAGAGUAUUUAACCAAAUAAAGGCAAGAAAAUAG
rnacentral:lncRNA from 1 species